rnacentral:rRNA from 1 species
GUUUGUAACACCCGAAGUCGGUGAGGUAACCUUUUAGGAGCCAGCCGCCUAAGGUGGGAUAGAUGAUUGGGGUGAAGUCGUAACAAGGUAGCCGUAUCGGAAGGUGCGGCUGGAUCACCUCCUUU